UGAGCAUGGCUCUGUGCUUUGCUAUGGUGUGACGAAGAUCCGGCCAUCAUCGCUGUCCCAUCAAGAUUCUGCCAACUCUGAUUGAUACCGUCCUGAUGAUCAACCCUAGGGUUUGGACGCGGAUCUUGCAGGUAACCGAAGUAUGCAUCGUCGGUUGAAAAUUGACUGCGAGACGAACGGAAGUAACUCGUGUGCGGCGGUGGAGAAUUUACGGCGUUUUUCCCCGGAUAACAUCGUGUAUGAGUCGCUCUGCGGGGAUGAAGACGUCGCCUACUCCGCAAGAUCGUUUUAGACGAGAGAUGUAGCGAUUCGAACACGCGCCCGAUGCGAAGGCUCCUUCCGUUUCGUAUGUUUGGACAACCCCUUUCCGUUUGCUGAGAAAGAUUUUAGGGUUUCUUCCAUUCACGAGGCGACCCGGCCUUCAGGUUUAGGGCGUGUCAAAAACUACUAAACCCUGAAAGAAAGUUUUUACCACUUACAUAUCAGGGGAUGGUUACAUUCAUCAUCUA